rnacentral:snRNA from 1 species
GAAUGUGAGAGCGAUUGGGCUGCCUCAUUUGUCACCCUAUUGAUAGCCAAGGUGGAUUCAACCUCCCUCCACAACUCUGCGAGCAUCUCUCCAGAAGAUGCACCUCAAUAAAAGAGGAAGAAAUUCCCUGACAGAAAAGGACCAUUUUGGGGUCAAAAAUAAAUGAGUAACUGUGCUUCCUUGCUAGGAUAUCCAAAGGAGCUCUCAAGAAAUGUGAACUCACCUAAGAGCUAGGAGUUUUAAAUGAGCAAUAUUAUUGCAUAUGACCUAAGAUCUCCAUUAU